rnacentral:rRNA from 1 species
CCUACGGGAGGCAGCAGUGGGGAAUAUUGCGCAAUGGGCGAAAGCCUGACGCAGCAAUGCCGCGUGAGUGAGGAAGGCCUUCGGGUUGUAAAGCUCUGUCAGAUGGGAAGAAUUGCCAGAUAUCUAAUAGGUGUCUGGAGUGACGGUACCAUCAAAGGAAGCACCGGCUAACUUCGUGCCAGCAGCCGCGGUAAU